UAAACCGUAAAACCAAACGAAGUAGUAGUAGCUCAUCAACUGUUUAAAAGAUGGUUCUGCUAUCACUCUUGGAUGGACCUGCGGUGCAUUAGCUAGUUGGUAGGGUAACGGCCUACCAAGGCGAUGAUGCAUAGCCGAGUUGAGAGACUGAUCGGCCACAUUGGGACUGAGACACGGCCCAAACUCCUACGGGAGGCAGCAGGC
rnacentral:rRNA from 1 species